UUUAAAUUUAAAAUGACAAAUUUGUCCCUAAAAUUAUAAUUUUUAAAAUUGAUAUAAAGGGGCAAAAUGGUAAUUUAGCCGUUGAUGUAACAUUUUGGGGCUGUCUGGGCAGCAGCCUAUAUAUAUAUAUAUAUAUAUUUUUGAAAACCUAUGAACAGUGUUGCUUUUGGCCUUUUUUCUCAAAUGAGGCUAUAAUAGCCUCAUUUUCGGCUUCCCAAACAGCGCCUUAAAGUUACAUGGAAUCUGGCUGCCAGCUCAAUUAGCAGUAGCUAAAGUUGUUGCCACAGUGUGCUAAGGGUCUGGACUUGUUAGUGGGUUGUAUGUACCAAGUUUGAUGAUUGGUGCUAUUGUGGGUGCUGUAUUUUGUGGUUCAAUUGCUGAACUAAUCAAUUCAGCCAUUCUAGGAAAUGCUGCUAUUGCCCAACUACAGGCAAAUGCACUGGUAAGUGGUCAUUGCAUUCUACUUAAAUAUGCCCAAAUCAGCUUAUGCGCAUAAUAAUUUGUUUGUGUCAUCUUCUUGAUUGAUCAAAAUUUUUAGUUCUUGAUGUGUGUUUAUACUUCUUAUGUUGCUGUCUGCAUCUAUGCAUCUGAUGCUGCUGUCUGCAUUGCUGGAACUGUAAAUCCUGCUGGAGUUGUGCAGUUGGCUGCUACUGGCAACUGACUGGGAGUAAAAGAGAGAACAAAAAAGAAAAAGAAAAGAGAAGGAGAGGAAGAAAAGAGAGAAAAAGAAAGAAGUGACUUGUGCAAUAUUAUAUUGAAUCCAGAGUGUACACACGCUAAACGGCUAAAAUUUAUUGUUUGCGUCACUUCAUUGGAAGAAGAAGUUUUAAAAAAAAAAAGCUGCCUCCAUUGAAAUAAAAGCGUACUCAUGGAAUGAGUUCCAACACAUGGCUAUUAGCCUGUGAAGGAAUAAAUGCAGCGCAGCUUGCUCGAGAUCUUAAAUCUUUUGAAUUAAAGAUGGCUUUUGGCAUGGACUUGUGGAUAGUCUACAUUUUUGUUUAUGAAGGAAACUUGACGCUUUUGUAUAAUCCUGCUAACUAUGUCUUCCUCUGCUUUUGUGAAUAGUAGCAUUACUGAUACAUAUAACUUUUGUAAUCCAACUAAUAGUUGCUGGUGUGGCAUAUAGAUCACUUUUGUAAUCCAAUGAUGGCAAGUUGUACCACGCCAAAUGGCCAUAUCGCAUGGUAGUAAAUAUAUUUUUUGUAUAUGGCGGGUUGGAUUUUUGUAUGGAAAUAUAAUUUUAGUUUGGACAAUAGUUGGUUUGUAUGGAAUAUAUACAUUUAAAGUUAUUCA